rnacentral:rRNA from 1 species
UACUCGAGUGGCGAACGUGUGAGUAACACGUGGGUGAUCUGCCCUGCACUUCGGGAUAAGCUUGGGGAACUGGGUCUAAUACCGGAUAGGAGCCAUCUUUAGUGUGGUGGUUGGAAAGUUUUUUCGGUGUAGGAUGAGCUCGCGGCCUAUCAGCUUGUUGGUGGGGUAAUGGCCUACCAAGGCGGCGACGGGUAGCCGGCCUGAGAGGGUGUACGGCCACAUUGGGACUGAGAUACGGCCCAG